AUGGCGCAAGAUAAUACCAAAUUGUGUGAUUUCUCCAAUACCAAUAAUAAUGAUUUCCUUAGUACUCUGAUUGCUCCUCUUAAUGAUGUUGAGUCUUGUGAAAUCAAUGCUGCCUUGCUGAAUCUUGUUAUGAAAGAUCAAUUCUCUGGCCUUCCUAGUGAAGAUGCCGCUACCCAUCUAAACAACUUUCUUAAUUUGUGUGAGAUGCAAAAGAAAAAAGAUACGAACAAUGAUAUUGUUAAAUUGAAGUUAUUUCCUUUUUCACUUAGAGAUCGUGCUAAAGUUUGGUUUUCAUCUUUGCCUAAAAAUAGUAUUGAUUCUUGGAACAAGUGCAAAGAUGCUUUUAUCUCUAAGUAUUUUCCUCCCGCUAAGAUCAUCACUCUUAGGAACGAUAUUAUGAAUUUUAAACAACUUGAUCAUGAGCAUGUUGCCCAAUCUUGGGAAAGAAUGAAAUUGAUGAUUCACAAUUGCCCUACUCAUGGUUUGAAUUUAUGGAUGAUCAUACACAUUUUUUAUGCCGGAUUGAAUUUUGCUUCUAGAAAUCUUUUAGAUUCGGCUGCGGGAGGCAUGUUUAUGGAAAUCACCUUAGGAUAA
rnacentral:rRNA from 1 species